rnacentral:lncRNA from 1 species
CAAAAGUUCAGCAACCCAACCCAAUACCCCAUCAAACCCAUCAGGUCUUCUUCUUCACCAGGACCCAAUGCUAGAAAGGGAACAAAAUUGAAAACCCCAGGAGAUCUUCUUUUUCAUACACACAAAACAAAAGAAAAAACCCUAGCAAGACAAAAAUGGAGACCAUGGUUGCUGCUUCUUCUUCUUCAAAGGAAAUAUGAAAAACCCUAGGCUACCCUUCUUCUUCAUCAGCUCACACAAGAACAUCCCUGAACCCUAGAAGACCAGCGUCGCCUCCCCACCUGGAUAACACCAAACUAGCCGGAAUCAACCAACCGUUCAUCGCUGUUGCACAUAGAGAUAGUCGUGACGACACCACCCAGUACCACCCUCGCCUCUGUUCCACUAUCCCAGCAACCCGACGCUGCUCGCCAGCCUCACUUUCUCACCACCAAAACCUACUGCCACAAAACACCCUCGACUGCAGAGAACAACUAGCUGUCAGUCUGCCCUCCUCGUCAUUAACUCGCCGGAAAACCCCUCCUCUCCAAUCCAGAACGAUCAGCCAAGAGAGGAAGGAUUUGGUUCAUUGUUCAGAUUAUACAAAAUAGCUCUUUGAUUUUGUUUACUAUUAAUCAUGUUUCAAUAUGAGAAAAUAAAAAAGCGGAUAGAAUUUGGGAAUGAAAAGUGAAAAUAGUUUGAACUUAAUUAUGGUUUUUCAAGUUUCUUUUGGGUUUAAAAUCAAGUUUAAUCAGAGGUCGGUUCGAGGCCGUCAUUGUCCGUCGAGGUUUCGAAUUACAGUUUGUAGUUUCAAAUCAAGUCUAUCUACCAUCUCCAGUUUGGUCAUAGCAGUUGGGUUCAUUUGCUCGUGUAACUGCUUAAAUUUCUAAUCGAUAUAAACUCCAAUUUGCAG